GGAGCUGUGGUGUAGCCUGGUCUAACACGUCGCCCUGUCACGGCGAAGAUCACGGGUUCAAAUCCCGUCAGCUCCGCCA
rnacentral:tRNA from 2 species